UACGAAGGGGGCUAGCGUUGCUCGGAAUCACUGGGCGUAAAGGGUGCGUAGGCGGGUCUUUAAGUCAGGGGUGAAAUCCUGGAGCUCAACUCCAGAACUGCCUUUGAUACUGAAGAUCUUGAGUUCGGGAGAGGUGAGUGGAACUGCGAGUGUAGAGGUGAAAUUCGUAGAUAUUCGCAAGAACACCAGUGGCGAAGGCGGCUCUCUGGGCCUGUACUGACGCUGAGGAGCGAAAGCGUGGGGAGCGAACAGG
rnacentral:rRNA from 1 species